rnacentral:rRNA from 1 species
CCUACGGGGGGCAGCAGUGAGGAAUAUUGGUCAAUGGGCGGGAGCCUGAACCAGCCAAGUCGCGUGAGGGAAGACGGUCCUACGGAUUGUAAACCUCUUUUGCCGGGGAGCAACGGGGUCCUUGCGAGGGCCCGAUGAGAGUACCCGGAGAAAAAGCAUCGGCUAACUCCGUGCCAGCAGCCGCGGUAAUACGGAGGGUGCAAGCGUUGUCCGGAGUCAUUGGGCGUAAAGAGUUCGUAGGCGGUAUGUUAAGUCUGGUGUUAAAUGCAGAAGCUCAACUUCUGUUCGGCACUGGAUACUGGCAAACUAGAAUGCGGUAGAGGUAAAGGGAAUUCCUGGUGUAGCGGUGAAAUGCUUAGAUAUCAGGAGGAACAUCGGUGGCGUAAGCGCUUUACUGGGCCGUAAUUGACGCUGAGGAACGAAAGCCAGGGUAGCAAAUGGGAUUAGAUACCCGAGUAGUC